rnacentral:pre_miRNA from 1 species
UACCUACUCCCUCCGUUCGGAAUUACUUGUCACAAAAAUGGAUGUAUUUAUAACUAAAAUACAUCUAGAUACAUUCAUUUCUUGGACGAGUAAUUCCGAACGGAGGGAGUAGCAA